rnacentral:rRNA from 1 species
GACGAACGCUGGCGGCGUGCCUAAUACAUGCAAGUCGAACGCAGGGGGGACGGGGGAGUAACACGUGGGUAACCUCCCAUCAGAGAGGGUAACCCUUUGAAACAGGUGCUAAACCGAUACUGCUGGAUGGACCCGCGGUGCAUUAGCUAGUUGGUGAGGUAACGGCUUACCAAGGCAACGAUGCUUAGCUGGCCUGAGAGGGUGAUCAGCCACACUGGAACUGAGACACGGUCCAGACUCCUACGGGAGGCAGCAGUAGGGAAUCUUCGGCAAUGGGCGAAAGUCUGACCCAGCAAUGCCGCGUGAGUGAAGAAGGUUUUCGGAUUGUAAAACACUGUAGUUAGAGAAGCGUUAUCUAACCAGAAAGCCACGGCUAACUACGUGCCAGCAGCCGCGGUAAUAC